AUGGUGGGCCUCUCGAACGGCGUCCUGGGCGCCCUGAGCAUCGUGUCCCUGGUGGCCGCCGCCCCGCUCCUCGGCGCGGGCGCCUACCUCCACGACCACGGCGCCUCCACCGAGUGCCAGCGCCUGCUGCGGCUGCCCACCCUCGCCCUCGGCGGCGGGAUCCUCCUCCUCUCCCUCAUGGCCCUCUUCGGCGCGUGCUGCCGCUCCUGCAGCCCGCUCCUCUGGCUCUACGUGAUCGCCAUGUUCCUGCUCGUCGUCGGCAUGUUCUUCGUCGCCGUCUUCGCCUACGCCGUCACCAACAAGGGCGCCGCCACCGCCGCCGACGGGACCGGCUACGGGGACUACCGGAUCGGGGACUACUCCGACUGGCUCAAGGACAAGGUCGAGGACUACGAGACGUGGCAACAGAUCCAGAGCUGCAUGGCCGACGCCGGCGUCUGCGGGGAUGGCCGGUUCAGCGGCCGGCUCGGCGGCGUCUCCGCCGGGAUCGACGCCACCGACUUCUACCGCCUGCAUCUGCCGCUCCUCCAGUCCGGGUGCUGCAAGCCGCCGGCGUACUGCGGGUACCGGGCGGUGAACGCGACGUUCUAUGAGGCCCCGGCGAGCGGGCUGGGCACGGCGGACGCGGACUGCCAGGCGUGGAGCAACGAGCCGAGCCUGAUGUGCUUCCGGUGCAACGCGUGCAAGGUGGGCGUGCUGGCCACCGCCAAGAGCAACUGGCGGGCCGUGGCCGGCGCCAACAUCGCCGCCCUCCUGCUCAUCCUCCUCGCCUACUCCCUCGGCUGCUGCGCCCUCCGCAACCACGACCGGCGUCGCCGCGGCGGAUACUACUACUGA
rnacentral:rRNA from 1 species